GAUGAACGCUGGCGGCGUGCCUAAUACAUGCAAGUCGAGCGAACAGACGAGGAGCUUGCUCCUCUGACGUUAGCGGCGGACGGGUGAGUAACACGUGGAUAACCUACCUAUAAGACUGGGAUAACUUCGGGAAACCGGAGCUAAUACCGGAUAAUAUAUUGAACCGCAUGGUUCAAUAGUGAAAGACGGUUUUGCUGUCACUUAUAGAUGGAUCCGCGCCGCAUUAGCUAGUUGGUAAGGUAACGGCUUACCAAGGCAACGAUGCGUAGCCGACCUGAGAGGGGGAUCGGCCACACUGGAACUGGGACACGGUCCAGACUCCUAGGGGAGGCAGCAGUAGGAAUCUUCCGCAAUGGGCGAAAGCCUGACGGAGCAACGCCGCGUGAGUGAUGAAGGUCUUCGGAUCGUAAAACUCUGUUAUUAGGGAAGAACAAAUGUGUAAGUAACUAUGCACGUCUUGACGGUACCUAAUCAGAAAGCCACGGCUAACUACGUG
rnacentral:rRNA from 1 species